UGGCGGCAGUGCCUAAUACAUGCAAGUCGAGCGAAUGCAGGAGAAGCUUGCUUUUAUGAAGUUAGCGGCGGACGGGUGAGUAACGCGUGGGGAACCUGCCCAUAGAAGUGGGUUAACUCUGGGAAACGGGGGUUAAUCCCGGUUAACUUUUAGGACCGAAGGGGGGGAAAUUGAGAGGUUGCUUUAUCUGUUGAUUAUGUAUGGGCUUAGCUCGUAUGUGGUGUUUGGGGUGGUCACGGCUACCCUACCUAACUGUGCUGAGCCGAUCUUCAGGGGCGCUGGGCCUGACUGGCGCUGAAACCUCCUACAGGCUGCUACGGGGGGGAAUAUUGGGCAAUGUUCCCAAGUGUACUAAAGCCUUGCGGAGCAACUCCAGGAGGGCGUUGAAGGCUUAAGGACUUUCAAACUGUGGGGAUGGGGAAGAACAAGUGCUAGUUGAAUUUGCUGUCACCUUGACAGUACGUACCCGCUAACUCAGUGCUAACUGCGUGCGAAAUACCGCGGUAAUA
rnacentral:rRNA from 1 species